ACCAACUGUACCUUUAGUGCCAAAUUUGCCAAUGCCUUCAUUACCACCAUUGCCUGGCGGUCUCCCAACUCUGCCGCAGCCCACAUUGCCUACAAAUCCAUCUCUACCUCAGCCUACACUACCUCCACUUCCUAGCUUGCCUAGUGUUCCUAAGGUUGCUUUGCCUCCAUUGCCAAGCAUCCCCUCAAUCCCCACUAUCCCAACUACAAUUCCCUCAAUCCCAAUCCCAUUCCUCUCUCCACCACCUGGCAACUAAAUAUUUUGCAUUAAAUUGUGGGAGGGGAUUGGAAACAUUGAC
rnacentral:misc_RNA from 1 species